GACGAACGCUGGCGGCGUGCUUAACACAUGCAAGUCGAACGGAAAGGCCCCUUUGGGGGUACUCGAGUGGCGAACGGGUGAGUAACACGUGAGUAACCUGCCCUUGACUUCGGGAUAACUUCAGGAAACUGGGGCUAAUACCGGAUAGGAAUCCUUGCUGCAUGGUGGGGGUUGGAAAGCUUCGGCGGUUUUGGAUGGACUCGCGGCUUAUCAGCUUGUUGGUGGGGUAGUGGCUUACCAAGGCUUUGACGGGUAGCCGGCCUGAGAGGGCGACCGGCCACAUUGGGACUGAGAGACGGCCCAGACUCCUACGGGAGGCAGCAGUGGGGAAUAUUGCACAAUGGGCGGAAGCCUGAUGCAGCAACGCCGCGUGCGGGAUGACGGCCUUCGGGUUGUAAAACGCUUUCAGCAGGGGCGAAGCUUGUGGUGACGGUACCUGCAGAAGAAGCACCGGCUAACUACGUG
rnacentral:rRNA from 1 species